GGGGGGGGGGGGGGGGGGGGGGGGGGGGGGGGGGGGGGGGGGGGGGGGGGGGGGGGGGGGGGGGGGCGGGGGGGGGGGGGCGGGGGGGUGGGGAGGACCUGGGCGUCUACGGUUGCGGGGGGGCUGACGGCGGGGACCUUGCGGUAAUGCCGCGUGGGGGCUCCGGGUUACAGCAGGGGGUCUCCGGACGUUGCGCGCUUCCCUGCGCCUGUGCCGGAUGAGCUAUUUGGCGGGGUAAAGGCCCACCCAGGCGACGACCAGGAGCUGGUCUGAGAGGAUGAUCAGCCACACUGGAACUGAGACACGGUCCAGACUCCUACGGGAGGCAGCAGUGGGGAAUAUUGGACAAUGGGCGCAAGCCUGAUCCAGCCAUACCGCGUGGGUGAAGAAGGCCUUCGGGUUGUAAAGCCCUUUUGUUGGGAAAGAAAAGCAGCAGGUUAAUACCCCGCUGUUCUGACGGUACCCAAAGAAUAAGCCCCGGCUAACUUCGUG
rnacentral:rRNA from 1 species